rnacentral:rRNA from 1 species
UACGUAGGGUGCGAGCGUUAAUCGGAAUUACUGGGCGUAAAGCGUGCGCAGGCGGUUUGUUAAGCCAGAUGUGAGAGCCCCGGGCUCAACCUGGGAACUGCGUUUGGUACUGGCAAGCUAGAGUACGGCAGAGGGGGGUGGAAUUCCACGUGUAGCAGUGAAAUGCGUAGAGAUGUGGAGGAACACCGAUGGCGAAGGCAGCCCCCUGGGCCGAUACUGACGCUCAGGCACGAAAGCGUGGGGAGCAAACAGG